rnacentral:sRNA from 1 species
UACUCAUCACUUUAAGAGGUGCAACAC